rnacentral:rRNA from 1 species
UACGGGGGGGAGCAAGCGUUGUUCGGAUUUACUGGGCGUAAAGGGCGUGUAGGCGGCCACCGCAAGUCGGUUGUGAAAUCUCCGGGCUUAACCCGGAAAGGUCAACCGAUACUGCGGGGCUAGAGUGCAGAAGGGGCAACUGGAAUUCUCGGUGUAGCGGUGAAAUGCGUAGAUAUCGAGAGGAACACCUGCGGCGAAGGCGGUUCUCUGGGCCUUACCUGACGCUGAGGAGCGAAAGCGUGGGGAGCGAACAGG